ACAAGAAAGCAUCUCAGAAUCUCGAAGGGGUUAGGAGAGUAAAUUACCAAGAUGGUCAUAAAGCCAUCCAAAAGCAUCAAGUGGGUGAGCCAGGAAGGCUUUCGAUCCCAGGAGAUAUCCUGAUCCAAGACGCCCCAUGGUGAAGCUGAGUGAAACCAAGCAAGCAGGGCGAAAUUUCAAACCCAUUUCCUUUAAGCCU
rnacentral:lncRNA from 1 species